rnacentral:lncRNA from 1 species
CACCUAACGCCUAUGGGCUCAGCCCAGAGUGAGCCCUAAGAGCCCAGUUUCUCUUACACCCAGUCAUCUCUGGGUCCACUCAAAGUGUUUCACAAUUUCCCCCUACAUCCUACAAAUCUCCCUACACUGAAUUGGCCUGAUGUGAGGCCAAGUCUCAACAGGACACUGGUUUCUUUCCCUUCCUCUGAUAGCCCAAAACAGACAGGGUAGGUGGAUAGGCCAAUCUCGGGUCUCGGGAAAAGUGCUGACUAUUGGUACUAGGAACUGAGCUUGCCACCCUAGUUUUGCCACAUAAAGCAAUAAAUCAAAUUAUCUAGACAGAGCAAAAGCCUUUUGGAAGGAGCUCCUACACCUAUGUCUCCUAGAGCUUAAAGGAAAAACCUCAGGGACCGAAGUGCGGGGAGAAGAGGGAAUUUGGAGAACCAGCUUGCAAGAUGUCAGGCCCUAGUGGAUCCUCUAGGGUUCCCACAAAACGCCAAGCCCAGAGGCAAGUUGGGGGUCGGGGUGUCUUUUCUUUCCCCAAUCAUUCCUCCCAAAAGCGCUAGGCAACAAAUCUCUGGGCCCAACAGCUCCUCCGAACGCCACUCCCAAUUCCUAGAUGUGCCCCGGGCUUUCAGAUACUCCGGGAACUACCUACGCCCGACGUCGGCAGGUUCCAGGGCCAUCUCCAGCUCUGCUCGGUGGGGACGGGCAGAGGCACAAAAUAGCCGCCCGCUGGCUUCCUAGUCGCCGACCCUUCGCUCCUCCAGACGGACACCGAAGCUCCGGAUGUAUGAAAUGGCCCCGCGGCGCGACAAAGAAGGCAAGGGCCUCAGCGGCUGGAGGGACGGAGGGCGACUGCGGCGCCGGGCGCUCACCCUGCCCGCCAGCGGAACACGCCCCCGCGGCCCGGCGGCCCCUGGCUCCGGGCCAGCCCUCCGCAAGUGGCUUUCUCUUUCUUUUUUAAACUUUCCAGCCAAGGCGAGCAGGCCAAGUUUCCAGACGUCCCUUCCACCAGCUCGGGGGUGGGUCUCCCAACCCCUCCAGGGAGGGGUCACCUCCUCCUCCCCCCUGCCUCCGGCACAGCUAGCCCGGGGCCAAGGCAGAUUCCUUCCCCCACCCCUCCUACUUAGGCCACCUGGAGCGGGCAGCCUCCAAAGCGAGCGCCGUCCAGUCGAGCCUGCGACCGCAGCGUCCGGAGAGGAACUCCCCGCAGCCCCAACGGUGCAGGCCGGUCCGCCGCUCCCGCGCAGCGCCCCCUCCACACUCACGCUUUCUGCAAAGGAAACUACAAAGGCAAAAAGAUCGCUCGCAAAGUUGUGACCUCCUGAAGCGUGAGCCUCUCACCUGCUCUGCCCCAGGCUCCCUGACCUGACUCACCUCCCUCCCCCAACAGUUCCCCUGUUUUGCACCUAGACAAUAAAUUUAGUUUAAUUUAGCUUCCGGUCUUUAAUUUUAGCAGGUCUCCUUUUUGCAUGCAAAUCAAUAUGGCAAUUACCAUCUAAAAGCUCGCCCAGCCCCGGGUCAAUGUAAAUUGAUCAUUGUCCGCCUUCCACAAAAUAACACCGGGAGUCUGUGGUGCAUAAUGAGAUUAUACUGGAAACUGUCUUUUAGAUCACAAAUUAUAUUUUAUGCUGUCAGGAUCUUCUCCAAGCGGACUUCCCGCUUGUCUAAUCACAGGGAGCCCAACCCCUGGAUGCUGGCUGGGGAGACAAGGCUCCAAAAAAAACACACAGCCCCCCCCAAAAAAUCCACACACCUCAACAAAGUGAGGACCCCGGCUUUUGAGACCCUGUACUCGGGCCACUUGGAGAUGUGCUUGUUCCCCGAGAGAGGGCCCUUCGAUAGAAAGAUCGCACAACAGCAGCGUUAAUGAU